rnacentral:snRNA from 12 species
AGCUUUGUGCAGUGGCAGUAUCGUAGCCAAUGAGGUUUAUCUGAGGUGUGAUUAUUGCUAAUUGAAAAAAAAAAUUAUAUAUAGCCCUAGUCAGUUUCGCUCAGUGGAUAGAGCGUUGGCCCACGGAUUGAAGAGUUCCAGGUUAGAUUUUGGUCAAGAGCACAUACU